ensembl:lncRNA
AGAAUACUUCUUGACUGUAAAUUGAUUAGACAGGACUGCUUUUUUAGCUGAAACCUGUAUUACGUGACAGCGGCAAAUAACCCGCUCGUGCAGUCUUGGGGACUCACUGACUAGGAGCGCCACUUUCCACGGUUUAACCCAGACCACAGACCAACCCAGCAAAGAGGAGGGGCGGACUCGACAGCGACGCAUAACUGUCGGACAGAAAAGGGCAAGAGGCCAAAUCUCUCAAGGAGCUGAAUACAGAAGAAGUCUGCCAGUGGUUUACCAGUAUUGGACUGCAAAAAUGUCUCCCCUUCAUCAAAGAAGCGAAACUGUGUGGAGCAGACAUAGCCUCGGUGGAUGUGAGCACUCUGGACAUCCUCCAGAUCAGCACACUGGAAGACAGGGAGCAGCUGCUGUCAGCCAUCUAUAAUGAGCUUCACCCUCCGAGCACCACCGCUCAGAGAAUCGACUCUUUGCUCGAAUCCUUAGGGCCAAAUACCGUGGAGACAUUCACGUCCACUCUGGGGUCAAUGACCAAGUCCAAGUCUUCUCCUCAUGUGAGCUGCCUGAGUAUGAAUCGACGUUCCCUCAGAAACAGCAGCCAAAAGAAUACGGCACAGAGAAAUUCACAUCUAAUAGAAAUUACUAUUAAUGCAUCAGAGCGUAUAGUUCAUCUCAGAACGCCAAAGGAAACAACAGUUGGAAAAAUCAUGGAGUCGUGUGUUAAAAUGCUGGGAGUGACAGAAGAUAAGAGCCUGUUCACAAUGAAAGAAAAGCAAGGUUCACCUGAGGAGCUCUCACUAGAUCAGCAGAUCGGGACUUUACUGACAUCAUCAUCAUCAUCGGAGAACAGACAGCUGGAGUUGUACUUGUGUAAAACGGACAAACCAGCAGGUUCAGCCACCCAAAAUAGUGCAGAAGUAAACAGUUCCAGCGAAAAUGGCAGCAGCAACAACCAAAACAUCCAGCCACCUAAAGAAGAAAGAAUCAGGGAACUAAACCAACAGGUUGACUCGCUCCAGAAUGUCAUCCUUCAGGUCCAGGAGCUCCACCACGGCCUGGUUGCUUUUUGCUCCGAGUUAAAGAACAUGGAUGGAGAUGUGAAGUUGGACAAACUUGGGUCUGCUGAGCUGAAGCAGAAGCUGGAUUUGGUUCACAGCCAACUGAACGACAAAAAGCAGAACCUGCAGACCCUCAGAGACAACAUUAACAACUUUACUGCUCACAAGAAGAAACAGCUGGAGGUUCGUCUCUUGGAAAAGAUGAAGCUGAACUGCCAAGUGUUCAAGGAGGAAAUUUCCAUCGUACAUCUCAACCGACAGGCGGCUCACCUUCAAAACGUCUUACAAGAAAGCUAUGUUAAGGAGAAAGCUCAAAAAAAGACUUUGGCCAUUGGUAGCCUGAGCCAGCUGGUGUCACCACAGUCUCCAGCCAUGCUGCUGGUUGUACAGGAGAACCAGAGCCCUGAUGGCCAUUAUGGGUUCAUAUGUCGCUACAGGGAAGAAGGCGGACUAGUGGUAGUCAAGGUGGACAAUUCUCACCUCUGCGUGGAUGACAGAUUGGUGGAGGUGAACGGUGUACCGGUUGUCAACUCCACACAGGAAGAGCUGACUGACCUCCUGCUGCAGGGACCCAGUGCUCAAAUUGUUGUCCUUCGCCAACCCCCGCCCAGCCUCACCUCCCCUCUGUUCCUGCAGCAUACGGUCAGCCCUGAUCCCGUGCAAACAGUCUGCCCAGAGGGAGAUGCAGUCACCAUGGAAACCCCUCCACAGCGUAAGGUGAUGGCCAUCUGAUGAUUACAAGGAAGAGAAAAAAAAGACUGAGAGAAUUGCGAUGAGAAAAGUCUGCAGUCUUAUAGUUUUUUACCUCCAUAUGUGAACAUGCUUAUUGUACUGGUGAAAUGUUUCUCAUUGAUUGUUGACAAUCGCCUUUUAGUUAGAAAUGUCAUGACUGUGUUUUUCACCAUAGGUACAUAACUUUAUUCUUGGUAGUCAGUAAUGUAUAACAGA